GACGAACGCUGGCGGCGUGCUUAACACAUGCAAGUCGAACGGUAAAGCCCUGCUUUUGUGGGGUGCUCAAGUGUCGAAAGGGUGAGUAAAACGUGAGUGUACUGCCCUUGACUUUGGGAUAAAUCCAGGAAACUGGGGCUAAUACAGGACAGGAGAACCGACUGCAUGGUGCGGGUUUGAAAGUUUCGGCGGUUGGGCAUGGACAUGCGGCUUUUCAUCUUGUUGGUGGGGAGGUGUCUUACUAAGGCUCUGAGGGGUCGCCAGCCUGAGAGGGUGACCGGCCACAUUGGGACUGAGAUACGGCCAGGACGCCUACGGGAGGCAGCAGUGGGGAAUAGAGCACAAUGGGCGGAAGCCGUAUGCAGGAACGCCGCGUGCUGGAUGACUGCCGUCGGUUUGUAAACCGCUUGCGCCUGUGACGAAGCGUGAGUGACGGUAAUGUGUAAAGAAGGACCGGCUAACUACGUG
rnacentral:rRNA from 1 species